rnacentral:lncRNA from 1 species
ACCAAAGAUGUUGAAGGAGGUGAGGGUGAAGAGAAGGUGAAGUCUGAGAAGAAGGAGAAGAAGAAGAAGAAGGACAAGGAGGAGGAGAAAGAAGAGGUAGCGACACCAAAGUCAGAGAAGAAGAAAAAGAAGAGCAAGGAGACUGAUGAAGCUGCUUCAGCGGAGAAGAGUGAGAAGAAGAAGAAAAAGAAGAGCAAGGAGGCAGAUGAAGCUGCUUCAGCGGAGAAGAGUGAGAAGAAGAAAAAGAAGGACAAGAAGAAGAAAAGCAAAGACAGCGAAGAUGAGG